rnacentral:rRNA from 1 species
AGCCUAGAGUUAUUAUUCUAGGUGAUACCUGCCCAGUGCGAAUUUUUGUAAACGGCCGCAGUACCUUGACUGUGCUAAGGUAGCAUAAUCAGUUGGCUUUUAAAUGAAGUCGGGAAUGAAUGGAUAAAUGUGGUUAAGCUGUCUCAACUUUACUUAUUUGAAUUUAUUUAAUAGGUGAAAAUACCUAUAGUAAGAAAAAAGACGAGAAGACCCUAGGAGUUUUUAUUAAAAGUAUAUCUUAUGCUAAAAUUUUUGUUGGGGCGACAUUAGAGCAUACUAACCUCUUAUAUUUAACAAGCCGAUUUAAUAUGGAAGAUUAAACUACCCUAGGGAUAACAGCGUAAUUCAUUAAUGAGUUUGCGACCUCGAUGUUGGACUAGGAAUUUUUUAGGCUAGCCGCCUAAAAUUAUUGUUCUGUUCGAACUAUUGUUCCU